rnacentral:rRNA from 1 species
GACAGAGGAUGCAAGCGUUAUCCGGAAUGAUUGGGCGUAAAGCGUCUGUAGGUGGCUUUUUAAGUCCGCCGUCAAAUCCUAGGGCUCAACCCUGGACAGGCGGUGGAAACUACCAAGCUGGAGUACGGUAGGGGCAGAGGGAAUUCCGGUGGAGCGGUGAAAUGCGUAGAUAUCAGGAGGAACGCCGGUGGCGAAGGCGGCUACCUGGACAGAAACUGACGCUGAGGCACGAAAGCUAGGGGAGCAAACAGG